rnacentral:rRNA from 1 species
CGCGGCCUAUCAGCUUGUUGGUGAGGUAACGGCUCACCAAGGCAACGACGGGUAGCUGGUCUGAGAGGACGAUCAGCCACAUUGGAACUGAGAUACGGUCCAGACUCCUACGGGAGGCAGCAGCAGGGAAUCUUGCGCAAUGGGCGAAAGCCUGACGCAGCGACGCCGCGUGGGGGAUGAAGGCCUUAGGGUUGUAAACCCCUUUCACGAGGGAAGAAACUGACGGUACCUCGAGAAGAAGCCCCGGCCAACUACGUGCCAGCAGCCGCGGUAAUACGUAGGGGGCGAGCGUUGUCCGGAAUUAUUGGGCGUAAAGGGCUCGUAGGCGGCUUGGCAAGUCGGCCGUGAAAACCCAGGGCUCAACCCUGGGACGCCGGUCGAUACUGCCAUGGCUAGGGUCCGGUAGAGGGGAAUGGAAUUCCCGGUGUAGCGGUGAAAUGCGCAGAUAUCGGGAGGAACACCAGUAGCGAAGGCGGUUCCCUGGGCCGGCACCGACGCUGAGGAGCGAAAGCGUGGGGAGCAAACAGGAUUAGAUACCCUGGUAGUCCACGCCGUAAACGUUGGGUACUAGGCGUGGCGUCUUAUCAACGGAUGCCGUGCUCGAGCUAACGCGUUAAGUACCCCGCCUGGGGAGUACGG